UUAUUACUAGAGUCAACUGUUCAUGUUUACAUUAGCAUUUAACUUUUGCUUUUGAAACUAUAAACUUACUGCUGCUACAUUUUCUCUCUGAAAGAAAAUUACAAAGUUAAUGCAUUUCUCUUAGAUAAUAAUGGCAGUUGAGUCUCUUACUUAAGAAAUAUACUUCUUAAACCUGAUCUUUUCCCUCUUUCUAGUUUUUCUAGUGAGAGGUUUUCUUUUGUCCCACCUUCUUGUUUCCAGCGGUGCCAAAUCACUUUUCUUUGCCAAUCGAGGUUUUUCCCUAUUUCUUUCAGGCAGAAAAUAACCAGCUAAUUUUUCCCUCAGAAAAGUUCUAAGCCUUCUUUUGUGUCUUGGGUGCCCCGUUGUCUAACCCAAUAGUGAAGAAGGCAAUUGUGGAUGUACAUGUUUGUUCUCUAGGCACAUAUGGGUAUGGUAUCUCCGGGGAUGUUACUGGUAUAACCUUUAAAUAUCCAGUCCCUCAAAUAGCUAUAAGAGAAUGAGAGGCUAUCAGAGAUCUACCUAUCACCUGUUGGAACUGCUGAACCCUAGGCUCUAUCUCGGUUGAAGUUAUUUCACUCUUGCGGGUAGGGGUUCCAGUUCCACCUCACUAAUUUUCUCUUUGCUUUCUGAAGGAACCUUUCCUAGCUCAUUCCUUUGGCGUUUUCUUCAGCUUUGGUCCCGGAUUCAGAGUUGCCUCCCCUACUUGACAGCGUUGAACAUGCCUCCAAAGGGUUGGGUUCCCGGAUAUACAGAUCUGGUUGUAUUGAAUUGGGUUGUUGUAAUUAUAAGUGGUUUGUAAAGAUAGAGCAGCUCUUGUAAGCCAACUUUUAGUUCUGAGCUGUGAUUUAUUGGGCUUUAAAGCCCUUUUCUAGUAAUGGAUUAACUUUAUCUUUAAAGGAAGAAACAACAA